ensembl:lncRNA
AUUUGAAAGUCAGUUGGCGGUGGAUGUGUGCACUGAGGCUGUGCGUCUUCACGUUCCAAAGAAAAGGAGCGGUGGAACUCAAAUCUGGAAUCACAAUAUCACUGUGGAGCAAGAAUAUCAGCACAUUAAUUACACCUCGGCCAAAUAAACUCAGUCCUGACUUGCUUAAUAAAGACCACAUGCAUAAUGCAAGGAUUGUGUCUUUAGCUGAGGUAAAGAGGCAGCCGUAACAUAGAGGGAAGAGGGAAAACACCGAUGGGACACAGUAGAAUGAAGCCUGAGCUUAGCUGUUGUUAUAUAGACAACUGGGCAAUUAGAGUUCAGCAGGUGGGUUUUAGAAUAUAAAGGCUCAUGAUGAUGUUGUACAAAAGUCUCAAGACACCUUUUUGAAAGGAAUGUUUUUUGUUUAACCACUAAAUACUGACCUAUGUAUCAUUAAAGCAUGAUAAGGGAUCUGCAAGUGUUGUGUCUACACAUAACAGAGAACUUGGCAAAUACCAGAUUUUAAAUUGUAUCUUUAGGCACUCUAUUACUAGCAGCCUGUUGCAAAAACACAUUUAUUCCACUGUCUUUAGCCAAAGAUAACAACUUGGCAGACACCAACAAGGUGAUUCUCAAAAUGUAUUAGGCAAAAACCUGGCAUACCUCACUGUGGUGUGCAGUGUGUCCUUGAUAAAUUAGAGACAACUGUACAAGAGGAGGACAAAAGAAGUGACAGAGCUAAAACAAACAAAAAAACAAACAAAAAAAACAAACUAUGAACAGUUUCUGAAAGCCAUGUACUUAAGAAAACAGGAAAAAAAAAAUUUUUUUAAAAAUUAAAAAAAAAAAAAAAACAAAUCCAGCAACGACCUGACACAGGACCUGAGAGAUACAUCUGGACCUUCAGUAGAUCCAUGUACUGUUCACCAAAACCUCACCACAAAUGGUCUCAGUGAAAGGGUGGCUAUCAAGAAGCCAUUUUUUAGGAAAGGAAACAGGGAGAAAAGGCAGAUUUCUAUAAGAACUGAAACUACAAUCCAUGCCUGACAGAGUGGUGAAUCCAAAUUUUACAUAUUUGGUUAAAAGUUUACUAAAAUUAAUUAAAAUACAAAGAAUAUCAGGAGAGAAUGCUCAACAGUGAGUGUCUGCAGACAUCUGUAAAACACAGUGAUGCUGUCAUGAUCCAGGGCUGCAUUUUGUCAAAAUUCAUUGAAUUAUGAACACAGAAAAGUACCAUCAGAUUCACCAUGCAAUACCAUAUGGAAAGCACCUGGUUUCCAACAGCUUCAGUAUUUAGCAUGAUUUAGCAUUUUAGGGAGCAUAAAGGCAGUAAUGUUUUUUUAAAUGUAACAUCUACUUAUAUCUUCUUAAAUUCAGUUGGGAUCACAGAUCCUGAAGUUCAGUUCACCUGACACUCGGACCGGCAGCCGCCACGGGUGUUAUGAGUGGCUGUGUGCAGACAGGAAUAGGACCCAAGGUGCAGACUCCAGAGACAGUCGUGAACUCAAAACAGCUUUAAUGUUAAACUCAAAAUAUAACAUAACUGGAAAAAAAUCAAAAUAAACUUAAACCGGAGGACUGACAGAACACACAGCUAGGUAAACAGUAGAUCACGACACGGACACAGAGAAACACAGGGCUUAAAUACACAAAGGGAGCAAUCAGGGAAUGGGUAACAGGAGGGAAACACAGCUGGGGCAAAUCAGGCCUAACGAGACAAGGGGAAGCGAAACCAGACACAUUAACAUGAGACAUGGACUUUCAAAGUAAAACAGGAAACAUAAC